rnacentral:sRNA from 1 species
AUGUACCCACGUACACUCCGGUUCCUCCGCGCCGUCCGCACCCACCUGACGGCUACUCGCUACGGUUUGUUAGCC